UACGAAGGGGGCUAGCGUUGCUCGGAAUUACUGGGCGUAAAGGGCGCGUAGGCGGAUGUUUAAGUCGGGGGUGAAAGCCCAGGGCUCAACCCUGGAAUUGCCUUCGAUACUGGACAUCUUGAGUGCGGGAGAGGUGAGUGGAACUCCGAGUGUAGAGGUGAAAUUCGUAGAUAUUCGGAAGAACACCAGUGGCGAAGGCGACUCACUGGCCCGUUACUGACGCUGAUGCGCGAAAGCGUGGGGAGCAAACGGG
rnacentral:rRNA from 1 species